rnacentral:rRNA from 1 species
AUUGAACGCUGGCGGCAGGCUUAACACAUGCAAGUCGAGCGGGGGAGGUUGCUUCGGUAACUGACCUAGCGGCGGACGGGUGAGUAAUGCUUAGGAAUCUGCCUAUUAGUGGGGGACAACAUCUCGAAAGGGAUGCUAAUACCGCAUACGUCCUACGGGAGAAAGCAGGGGACCUUUGGGCCUUGCGCUAAUAGAUGAGCCUAAGUCGGAUUAGCUAGUUGGUGGGGUAAAGGCCUAACAAGGCGACGAUCUGUAGCGGGUCUGAGAGGAUGAUCCGCCACACUGGGACUGAGACACGGCCCAGACUCCUACGGGAGGCAGCAGUGGGGAAUAUUGGACAAUGGGGGGAACCCUGAUCCAGCCAUGCCGCGUGUGUGAAGAAGGCCUUUUGGUUGUAAAGCACUUUAAGCGAGGAGGAGGCUACUGGUAUUAAUACUACCGGAUAGUGGACGUUACUCGCAGAAUAAGCACCGGCUAACUCUGUGCCAGCCGCCGCAGUAAAAC